AGCUUUGUGCAGUGGCAGUAUUGUAGCCAAUGAGGUUUAUCCAAGGUGCGAUUAUUGCUAAUUGAAAACAACAGGAAUAGAGCCCCUUCUAGAUCCGGGGGCCAGAAGUCCAGAAUCAGGGCGUCAGCAGGAUUGUUUCCUUCUGGAG